UAGAUUCAGGCUAAAACCGUCGCGGGCAGUCAUUAAAUACCAUUCAUCCAUUUGUUUUGACCACCCUCACAUAACGGAAUUGAAGUCUGGAUGGACGAGGCAGGGAUGUUGUACAGUGCUCUUCAGUAGUUGGCUCACUUUCAAAGGGAGAGGUGACUGACUGUGUUACAUGAUGAAGCACUCAAAAUUAUUUGCCUCUCACACCUCGGUCUUUUUCUUCACGGCUUUGAUCGUGACCAUUGAAGGCCUAAAUAUCACUCGAGGACGAGACAAAGACUUCGAAGAACACACUGCCGCCUUUGAGGGCGAAAUCUCCGGUGAUAUCGUCAAAGAAGAAGUUGUCGAGUCCAAUCCAAUUGAAGUGAACGUGGCCACGUCCCGCUCGUCCAAGCCAAUACUUGUCCAAGCUUCGAGCAACAACACGCCCGACUCUGACCCAAAUCAGUCCUAUUUCGAUGACGCGAUGGGUGCU